rnacentral:rRNA from 1 species
UACGGAGGGGGCUAGCGUUGUUCGGAAUUACUGGGCGUAAAGCGUGCGUAGGUGGUUGUUUAAGUCUGUUGUGAAAGCCCUGGGCUCAACCUGGGAAUUGCAGUGGAUACUGGGCGACUAGAGUGUGGUAGAGGGUAGUGGAAUUCCCGGUGUAGCAGUGAAAUGCGUAGAGAUCGGGAGGAACAUCCAUGGCGAAGGCAGCUACCUGGACCAACACUGACACUGAGGCACGAAAGCGUGGGGAGCAAACAGG